ACCCGCUGAACUUAAGCAUAUCAAUAAG
rnacentral:rRNA from 1 species